CAGAUUAGAUCGCGAUCAACAGUCCAGAUUGGAUCGCGAUGAAUAGUCUAGAUUCACUCGCUAUUUAAUUGCGAUCGGAUGGUGCAGAUCAAACGCGAUAGAUGAUCUAGAUCAAAAGUGGAUGGAUAUAAAUAACCCCCAUCUAUAUCAAACCCUAACCCUAGCUGACAGACCCCCUCGCUAGAGAAUAAGAACCGGUCACCGGGAAGGAGACCGCCGACACCCGCCGUUGAACUGGAGUCCUUUCCGUUCGUCAAAAAAGGUAAAAAAAAAAUUGUUUUGCUCGAAAUUCAAUUCUAAAUACACCUAUAGCCAAAUCGGAGCAAAAAGACUGGCUGAUUGGCCAGAAAACGUGGGCAAGAUUUGGUAGCGCCACCGUGGGGAAUUCCACAAAACACCUCCGAUGAGGCCAUUUUGAUUCCCGUUCUACAUGGUUUUUUCACUGUUGUGAUUAUCGUUUCCUUCUCUACAGGUUGACCAGAUCAAAACACCCAACUGCAACAUGAGCCGAAGGAGCCAUCGCACCGGAGAGCUCCGCCUCCAGUGAAUUUCGAUUUUUUUGUAUUUUUUGGGCCAACCGAGGUCCUUUAACAUAUUUUCACAUAGGGAUAGAUGUAGAAUCAGCCAAAUUCGGUCCAAAACGGCUGAAAACAGCCGACCGAGGCGGACCACCGCAGCGGGGGGCAGCACCAUUGUCGGAGCACGGCAGAGCUACCGUGCCGGAAUUCCAAAAUUGGCCAAGUGGGCCCUGAGACUGAUUUUAAGUUUGUUUGGAAUAUUUGUAGGUACU
rnacentral:lncRNA from 1 species